rfam:Geobacillus sp. B4113_201601 NODE_525, whole genome shotgun sequence.
AGCACCUUUUAAUUAAGUCCCGUGAGGCUUAAAAAGGUGUGAAACGAAGCGCACCGGGCCGGAGUCUGCCCUCGGCUCCACCGGGUGCCCAUCAUCACACCUUGCCUCGCUGGCAAGGUGUUUUUUUAU